ensembl:lncRNA
AAGGAGAAACACAUGGGAUGGAAAUGGCAGCCCACUCCAGUGUUCUUGCCUGGAGAAUCCCAGGGACGGGGGAGCCUGGUGGGCUGCCGUCUAUGGGGUCGCACAGAGUUGGACACAACUCAAGCGACUUAGCAGCAGCAGCAGCAGCAAAAGGUUAAGAAAGAUAUACCCAUUUGAAUGAAGAGUUCGAAAGAAUAGCAAGGAUAGAUAAGAAAGCCUUCCUCAGUGAUCAGCGCAAAAAAUUAGAGAAAAACAAUAGAAUGGGAAAGACUAGAGAUCUCUUCAAGAAAAUUAGAGACACCAAGGGAACAUUUCACGCAAAGAUGUGCACAAUAAAGGACAGAAAUGGUAUGGACCUAAGGGAAGCAGAAGAUACUAAGAAGAGGUGGCAACAAUACACAGAAGAACUGUACAAAAAAGAUCUUCAUGACCCAGAUAAUCAUGAUGGUGUGAUCACUCACCUAGAGCCAGACAUCCUGGAAUGUGGAGUCAAGUGGGCCUUAGAAAGCAUCACUACGAACAAAGCUAGUAGAGGUGAUGAAAUUCCAGUUGAACUAUUUCAAAUCCUGAAAG